GCAGCUUAAUGGCAGACCACAUGCCUUGCAGGCAUAAGUCCCCAGGUUCAAACCCUGGCAUCUGCU